rnacentral:rRNA from 1 species
AUGAUGUCGAUACCAGACACUCAGAAGGCACAAUCACAAAAAAUAAAACCAACUAACGGUGAUAUCAGCAUUAUAACCUACUCCCUCCGUCCAAAAAUACUUGUCAUCAAAAUGGACAAAAAGGGAUGUAUCUUUUUUUUUAUUUUUUUUUAUUUUUUAUUUUUAGAAAAGGAGGAUGACCCCCGGCCUCUGCAUCUGGGCGAUGCAUACGGCCACUUUAUUAAUUAUUCUCACAAGACCUUACAAAGUAAUACAACAGUAAGACUAAAGCCGCCGUCUAAGCACCUCUAUCCAGCCGAUGAAGGGGCGCAGAUAGCCUGGGCCUAA